rnacentral:tRNA from 1 species
GCUCUUGUGGCAGAAUGGUUAAAGCACUUGGCUGUUAACCAAAAUGUUGGUGGUUCAAACCCAUCAGCU